AGUGGCGGACGGGUGAGUAACGCGUAAGAAUCUAACUUCAGGACGGGGACAACAGUGGGAAACGACUGCUAAUACCCGAUGUGCCGCGAGGUGAAACCUAAUUGGCCUGAAGAAGAGCUUGCGUCUGAUUAGCUAGUUGGUGGGGUAAGAGCCUACCAAGGCGACGAUCAGUAGCUGGUCUGAGAGGAUGAGCAGCCACACUGGGACUGAGACACGGCCCAGACUCCUACGGGAGGCAGCAGUGGGGAAUUUUCCGCAAUGGGCGAAAGCCUGACGGAGCAACGCCGCGUGAGGGAGGAAGGUCUUUGGAUUGUAAACCUCUUUUCUCAAGGAAGAAGUUCUGACGGUACUUGAGGAAUCAGCCUCGGCUAACUCCGUGCCAGCAGCCGCGGUAAUACGGGGGAGGCAAGCGUUAUCCGGAAUUAUUGGGCGUAAAGCGUCCGCAGGUGGUCAGCCAAGUCUGCCGUCAAAUCAGGUUGCUUAACGACCUAAAGGCGGUGGAAACUGGCAGACUAGAGAGCAGUAGGGGUAGCAGGAAUUCCCAGUGUAGCGGUGAAGUGCGUAGAGAUUGGGAAGAACAUCGGUGGCGAAAGCGUGCUACUGGGCUGUAUCUGACACUCAGGGACGAAAGCUUGGGGAGCGAAAGGGAUUAGAUACCCCUGUAGUCCUAGCCGUAAACGAUGGAUACUAGGCGUGGCUU
rnacentral:rRNA from 1 species